UCAAGCUAAUAAGAGCAUAGGGUGGAUGCCUUGGCACUAGGAGCCGAAGAAGGUCGUGAUAAGCUGCGAAAAGCUUUGGGGAGGCGCAAAUAGCCAUCGAUCCAGAGAUUACCGAAUGGGGAAACCUGGCUGAGCAAACCUCAGUCACUGCAUAGUGAAUACAUAGCUAUGCAGAGGGAACCCGGGGAACUGAAACAUCUAAGUACCCGGAGGAAGAGAAAGAAACAUCGAUUUCCUAAGUAGCGGCGAGCGAAAGGGAAAGAGGCCAAACCUAAGGACCUAGUUCUUAGGGGUUCGGACUGCAAUACGGUAUUAAGAAGAUUUAGCCGAAGUGUUUUGGAAAAGCACGCCAUAGAGGGUGAAAACCCCGUAGGCGAAAAGUCGAAUUAGCCAGCAGGAUCCAGAGUAGCGCGAGACACGAGAAACCUUGCGUGAAUGAGCGGGGACCACCCCGUAAGCCUAAAUACUACCUAGUGACCGAUAGCGCAUAGUACUGUGAAGGAAAGGUGAAAAGAACCCCGGGAGGGGAGUGAAAAAGAACCUGAAACCCUAUGUUUACAAGCAGUGGAAGCACGUUAAGGUGCGACCGCGUACUUUUUGUAGAACGGUCCGGCGAGUUACGAUUGCAGGCAAGGUUAAUGACUAAAGGUCAGGAGCCGAAGGGAAACCAAGUCUGAAUAGGGCGUUUGAGUCUGUAGUCGUAGACCCGAAACCGGGUGACCUAUCCAUGUGCAGGUUGAAGUUACCGUAAAAGGUAAUGGAGGACCGAACUCACAUCUGUUGAAAAAGGUGGAGAUGACGUGUGGAUAGCGGAGAAAUUCCAAUCGAACCCGGAGAUAGCUGGUUCUCCUCGAAAUAGCUUUAGGGCUAGCCUUGUUUUAGUCUACUGGAGGUAGAGCACUGAAUUGCCUAGGGGGCUUCACAGCUUACCGAAGCAUAUCAAACUCCGAAUGCCAGAUAGAUGAUGAACGGGAGUCAGACUAUCGGAGAUAAGUUCGAUAGUCAAAAGGGAAAGAGCCCAGACCACCAGCUAAGGUCCCAAAGUGUGUGUUAAGUGGAAAAGGAUGUGAGAUUUCGAAGACAACUAGGAUGUUGGCUUAGAAGCAGCCACUCAUUUAAAGAGUGCGUAAUAGCUCACUAGUCGAGAGGUCUUGCGCCGAAAAUGUCCGGGGCUAAAACACACCACCGAAGCUGUGGAUCCGAAAGGAUGGUAGAGGAGCAUUCUUAAAGCAACGAAGCUGUACCGUAAGGAGCAGUGGAGUUUUAAGAAGAGAGAAUGCCGGAAUGAGUAGCGAGAGAGAAGUGAGAAUCUUCUCGGCCGAAUAUCUAAGGUUUCCAGAGUAAAGCUGAUCUUCUCUGGGUAAGUCGGGACCUAAGGUGAGGGUGAAAACCGUAGCCGAUGGACAACUGGUUGAGAUUCCAGUACCUUGUAUGAACAGAACUGUGGGGACGCAGAAGGAUAGGAAGAGCCAGGAAUGGAAAAACUGGUGUAAGCGUAAAGGCUGUGUGUUAGGCAAAUCCGGCACACUGAGGCUGAAACGUUAUGCGGAUCGAAAUAAAGUAGAGAAGCUUCCAAAUCCAAGCUGUCAAGAAAAGCCACUAUUGUUUCAUGUAAGCCCGUACCGCAAACCGACACAGGUAGAUGAGGAGAGAAUCCUAAGGCCGACGGGAGAAGCGUUGUUAAGGAACUCGGCAAAAUGACCCCGUAACUUCGGGAGAAGGGGUGCCUACGCAAGUAGGCCGCAGAGAAUAGGCCCAAGCGACUGUUUAGCAAAAACACAGGUCUCUGCAAAACCGAAAGGUGAAGUAUAGGGGCUGACGCCUGCCCGGUGCUGGAAGGUUAAGGGGAAUGGUUAGCGCAAGCGAAGCUAUGAACUUAAGCCCCAGUAAACGGCGGCCGUAACUAUAACGGUCCUAAGGUAGCGAAAUUCCUUGUCGGGUAAGUUCCGACCCGCACGAAAG
rnacentral:rRNA from 1 species